rnacentral:rRNA from 1 species
GAUGAACGCUGACAGAAUGCUUAACACAUGCAAGUCUACUUGAACUUCGGUUUGGGUGGCGGACGGGUGAGUAACGCGUAAAGAACUUGCCUCACAGAUAGGGACAACAUUUGGAAACGAAUGCUAAUACCGGAUAUUAUGAUCUUAGGGCAUCCUAGAAUUAUGAAAGCUAUAUGCACUGUGAGAGAGCUUUGCGUCCCAUUAGCUAGUUGGAGAGGUAACGGCUCACCAAGGCGAUGAUGGGUAGCCGGCCUGGGAGGGUGAUCGGCCACAAGGGGACUGAGACACGGCCCUUACUCCUUCGGGGGGCAGCGGUGGGGACUUUUGGACAAUGGGCCAAGAGUCUGAUCCAGCACUUCUGUGUGCACGAUGAAGUUUUUCGGAAUGUAAAGUGCUUUCAGUUGGGAAGAAAAAAAUGACGGUACCAACAGAAGAAGUGACGGCUAAAUACGUG